UGAUACAGACCCAGAAGCUUGCUGACAGUUGGAGAUGCUUGGAGACGCAGACAGAAGGAUGUUUGGAGAUGCUAAGCUAAGAAACGAAGCCCAGAGUUUGCCCUGGAGAAUCCAAGAGAGAAUUCCUAUUCACUUAGAGAGAAAGCCAUUGGAAUCAGAAGCUGAAAGCAAUGCAACUUGGGAGCAGAGGACCAGCAGACACCGACUACGUGUCUUCCCAGCUGAUAGAGAUCACCCACUUUCACACUACCAGCAUAUCAAGGCAAUUUAUCUGUGAACCAGGCAUGAGAUUGGAGACCUCCCAUGAAGUAAUUUGAGGGAAAGAUGUCCAUGCACCACCAGAGGACCUUCAUGGUAUCUGUGAUUCUAGAUGCUCAGAAGUGAUACGAACCACUUUUCUUAUUUGACAAAGGAAAAUAUUUUUAACAAGUUUUUUAGUUCAUGGACCUUUGUUCAUAAUGAUGAAAUAUCAUGACAUAUUUCUUCAGAAUCCUAGAGUCAGGAAUAUUUGCUGCUCCUCGAGAUUCCCAUGUCCACCUGAUGAACCAUUCAAUUUUACAGCCAACUGACCACAACAGGAUGGGUGUUGUUUGGAUCACUGGAGUCGUAUAAAGGAGUUCACAGUCAGA